rnacentral:rRNA from 1 species
CAGCAGCCGCGGUAAUACGAAGGGGGCUAGCGUUGCUCGGAAUGACUGGGCGUAAAGGGCGCGUAGGCGGCUGACACAGUCAGAUGUGAAAUUCCUGGGCUCAACCUGGGGACUGCAUUUGAUACUGUUUGGCUUGAGUUCGGGAGAGGUGAGUGGAAUUCCCAGUGUAGAGGUGAAAUUCGUAGAUAUUGGGAAGAACACCAGUGGCGAAGGCGGCUCACUGGCCCGAUACUGACGCUGAGGUGCGAGAGCGUGGGGAGCAAACAGGAUUAGAUACCCCGGUAGUCCCUGUCUCUUAUAC